rnacentral:lncRNA from 1 species
UAGGGAGAGUGCCAUAUAGGAUUAGAGCAUCAGCAUUUGAGUUAUAUGAUAGCCUACAUGAUUUUUUUUUAUUUUGAUUUUUACGCUUUUCAUUUAAAUUUAAUUGUUCAAAUUUAAAUAACACAUUUUACUAAUAAAAAUAAUUAAAUUUUCAUUGAAGGAAAAAAGUGAGGAAGAAGAAGAAGAAAAAGAGUAGAUAAAGAGGAGAA